rnacentral:rRNA from 1 species
GUGGGGAAUCUUCCGCAAUGGGCGAAAGCCUGACGGAGCGACGCCGCGUGGGGGACGAAGGCCUUCGGGUCGUAAACCCCUGUCAGAGGGAAAGAUGGGUGCCGGUGUAAAUAGCGCCGGCAUUUGACGGUACCCUCAGAGGAAGCCACGGCCAACUCCGUGCCAGCAGCCGCGGUAAUACGGAGGUGGCAAGCGUUGCUCGGAAUCACUGGGCGUAAAGGGCGCGUAGGCGGGGAGGUAAGUCGGGUGUGAAAUCCCUCGGCCCAACCGAGGAACUGCGCCCGAGACUGCUUCUCUUGAGUCCCGGAGAGGAAGGUGGAAUUCCCGGUGUAGCGGUGAAAUGUGUAGAGAUCGGGAGGAACACCGGUGGCGAAGGCGGCCUUCUGGACGGUGACUGACGCUGAGGCGCGAAAGCGUGGGGAGCAAACGGGAUUAGAUACCCGUGUAGUCC